AAAAGUUCUGACUGCAAUAAAUAGUUGACAGCGUCGGCCAUAUUAUUUUCUAUAGAAGUGCAAGGUAAAAAAUUUGUAUUAAUUGAAUGAAUCUGCUUAAGUAUAAGUUGAGAAGACAUGCUAUUGUGAAACUAAUUUGAAUAUUUUAAAAUACACUGAAAAAUAGCGCUUAACAACAAUGGAAAACCCAAAAAAAGAGACUGCAUCCGAAGGUACUGGUGAUAAAGAGGAUAAUAAGCGGAAAGUAAGAAAAAGAAAAAUAAAACGCGCUAAA